CCCUACCUCCACUACCCGCAGGAUCCCCAGCCCCCCAUGCCCCGCCCGGUCAUCCCCUUCCCCAUGCCCAACCCGAACGCGAACCCCAACCCGGGCGCUAACCCCAUGGCCGCCGGGGGCGCCAACCCCGGCGCUCGCCUCAUGCAGCUGCUCGGCAGCUCCGGGUCGGGCCACCUCGAGUCCGCGGUAUCUAUGCCCCCGCCGUCGUCGGAGUUCGCCGCCGCGCAGCCGUCGCCGCUCCCGGCGAUGCCAUCCGCGCCGCCGGCGAGGAUGCUCAGCAGCACCAGCAGCAAGGUGCCGAGAGGUCGGCUUCUGGGUGGCGGGGACAAGGCGGUGCACAACGUCGACUCGAGGCUGCCUGGGGAGGCGCAGCCGCCACAGCUGGAGGUGACGCCGAUCACCAAGUACACGUCAGACCCAGGUCUUGUGCUGGGCAGGCAGAUCGCUGUAAACCGGACGUACAUCGUCUAUGGGCUCAAGCUGGGGAACAUCCGUGUGCUAAACAUCAACACCGCGCUUCGGUCACUGCUCCGUGGCCAUACACAGAGGGUCACGGACAUGGCUUUCUUCGCUGAGGACGUCCAUCGUUUAGCAAGCGCAAGUGUGGAUGGACGGAUAUACGUGUGGAGGAUUGAUGAGGGGCCCGAUGCAGAAAAUAAACCACAAAUUACAGGAAAGAUAGAAGUUGCCAUACAAAUUGUAGGUGAUGCUGUAGCUUACCAUCCAAGGAUAUGUUGGCACUCUCAUAAGCAAGAACUUCUGUUUGUUGGAAUCAGAAACUGUGUCUUAAGAAUAGACACAACUAAAGUUGGAAGGGGAAGAGACUUUAGUGUUGAAGAACCUAUCAAAUGUCAUCUUGAUGAGCUUAUUGAUGGUGUACGCUUGGUUGGUAGGCAUGAUGGUGAUGUGACAGAUUUGUCCAUAUCUCAGUGGAUGACUACCCGACUGGCUUCAGGAUCAAAUGAUGGCAUGGUAAAGAUUUGGGACGAUCGCAAGUUAGCACCUCUAUCGAUUCUAAAGCCACAUGAUGGUCAAGCUGUUUACUCAGUUGCCUUUCUUACAGCACCUGAGCGCCCGCAUCAUAUAAAUCUCAUCACUGCUGGUCCUCUAAACCGAGAAAUUAAAAUUUGGGCUUCUACUAAUGAAGAAGGUUGGUUGUUGCCAAGCGACUCUGAGACUUGGAAUUGCACGCAGACUCUGGAACUUGUUAGUUCUCUGGAACCUAAAGUCGAGGAGGCAUUUUUCAACCAAGUCGCAGUGCUGCCUCAAGCAAGCAUUAUCUUACUUGCGAAUGCGAAGAAGAAUGCUAUUUACGCUGUGCAUGUUGAGUAUGGCUCAGACCCCGCUUCUACCCGCUUGGAUUAUAUCGCAGAUUUUACAGUCGCGAUGCCUAUUUUAAGUCUUACUGGCACACAUGAAAGCCAACCUGAUGGUGAGCAGGUAGUUCAAGUCUAUUGUGUCCAAACAAUGGCCAUCCAGCAGUAUGGGCUGGAGUUAUCACUUUGUUCGCCUCCUACAUCUGACACUACCUCAUUUGGAAGAGACCCUGCUAUUUCACGUGUUUAUGAUACACCUCUGGAAGUGGUAGGAGCAGAGUCAUCCACGGGAACUAGCUUUACAGAUUCUUAUACCGUCGGUACUUCGAGUAAACAAUCAACUUUUGAUCAGACUGCAGAGUUUGAUCUUAAGCCAUCAGCUCCACCACUUACAUACACAGAAGGUGAUGGUUCUGCGCAUCUUCAGUCUGCCCCUCUUGCAUCAAACACUGAUCUUACUGGAUCAGGACCAUCAGUAGGCAACCGUGACAAAGACCAAUCAGCUUUUGAUUAUUCGACAAGCCGAAUCACUGAGCCAGUUGCCUUGACUAGGCAAGAUACACCCAUGCCAAAGGACAAUUUUGGAAAGGAUGAAUUAAGAGACAGCCACAGUGAUGUUCAGAUGCUCCCAAAUCCUCGCAUGAUGUUUAAGGUAGGAGGAAAUGCCACUCAUCUCAUAACUCCAUCUGAAAUUAUAUCAGGUGCUCUGUCUGCUGAAAGCAAUCAGAUCUCUAAAUCUGAUGGCGCAAAAAUCCAGGAUGACUCUAUUAGUAGCCCUCGGAUUGCAGAAGUGGAAGCAAAACAUGUCGAUGAGAGUAAAUCUAAUCAUGAUUUGGAACUUGAAGCUGUCAAGGAAGCUCAAGUUGUCUGUGAGAACUCAGAGAAAGAUCAAAAUUCGUUGGAGCAAACUGUUGAAAUGAUCAGUGAGCGUUCAGUAACAACUGAUAAGUAUAGCGUGGAAGAAUCACGGUCACCAUCUGAUAGACUGGUCCCUGACCAUACUGGUGCUGCUGGAGAAAAUGUUUCAAACAAAACCGUAGAAAAACCUGGCAUAAGUGACUCCUCUGUGUCUAGGGAGCAAUCAUCUUCAUAUACAAAGGACAAGGUUUUUCAUCCUCAAGCAUCUGGUCAGUCAUCACCUUCUACAAGCGCAUUUAACUCAACUGAGUCUUCACAUGAACCUGUCAGCAGUGCAUACCCUCCUAUUCAAUCCUCUUCAGAAGUUGCCGAUAUGCUGCAACAGCUAAUAGCCAUGCAGAAGGAUAUGCAGAAGCAGCUAGGUACUAUCGUUAUUGCUCCCAUUGCGAAGGAAGGCAAAAGAAUUGAAACAUCACUAGGCCGUACAAUGGAAAAAUCUAUCAAGGCUAGCAUUGAUGCCUUGUGGGCUCGUUUCCUGGAGGAGAACACAAAACGUGAGAAGGCUGAAAGGGAGCGAAUGCAGCAAAUGACCACUCUCAUCACAAGCUCAAUAAACAAGGACCUUCCUGCUAUGUUGGAUAAGUUAGUAAAGAAAGAAGUUUCUUCACUUGGACCUGUUGUUGCACGGGCAAUGACACCUAUUAUUGAGAAGUCCUUAACUUCUAUAGUUGCUGAUGCAGUUCAGAAAGCGGUGGGUGACAAGGUGGUGAAUCAGCUGGACAAAUCUGUUACUGCAAAACUUGAAGCUACACUUGCUAGGCAAAUCCAAAUGCAAUUUCAUACAUCUGUAAAACAGACUCUUCAGGAUGUUUUACGCACUAGCUUUGAAUCAUUGCUUGUUCCAGCAUUUGAACAAUCAUGCAAGACAAUGUUUGAGCAAGUAGACAGUGCAUUCCAGAAAGGAAUGUCUGAGCAUGCUGUUGCUAUUCAGCAGCAGGUUGAGGCAGCACAUACUCCAUUGGUGCUUACUUUAAAGGAAACUAUCACUUCUGCAUCCUCAAUCACCCAGAAUCUCACAUCAGAGUUACUUGAUGGGAAUCGCAAAAUUUUGGCGCUGGUUACAUCUGGCAAUGCCAAUGCGCAAAAUACAAAUGUUCUGCAGCCCAACAAUGGUCCUAUCACUGGCCCGCCAGAGGUCGAGGCACCAUUAGACCCGAUGAAGGAGCUGGGAAGACUGCUAGCUGAACACAAAUUUGACGAGGCUUUUACAGUAGCACUUCAAAGAAGUGACGUGUCAAUUGUGUCUUGGUUAUGCUCUCAGGUUGAUUUGCGUGGAUUAUGUACAAUGGCCCCAGUCCCUCUGAACCAGGGAGUCCUCCUAGCCCUACUCCAGCAGCUAGCAGUUGAUAUUGGCACCGAGACAUCCCGGAAAAUUCAGUGGAUGACAGAUGUUGCCAUGGCGAUCAAUCCGACAGACCAAGUCAUCGCCAUACAUGUGAGGCCUAUCUUCGAGCAAGUCUACGCCAAAUUGGCUCACCACCGGUCGCUCCCCACCACCAGUCCAUUGGAUAACAGCAAUCUUCGCUUGCUUAUGCAUGUCAUCAACUCAGUUCUGCUUAGCUACAAGUGA
rnacentral:rRNA from 1 species